rnacentral:rRNA from 1 species
CUUUCCAGGAGAGUUUGAUCCUGGCUCAGGACGAACGCUGGCGGCGUGCCUAAUACAUGCAAGUCGUGCGGGGUCUUGAAGGGCUUGCCCUUUAAGACCCAGCGGCGAACGGGUGAGUAACACGUGGGUAACCUGCCCGCAAGACCGGGAUAACUCCGGGAAACCGGGGCUAAUACCGGAUAAGACUCCGGAUCGCAUGAUCCGGAGUGGAAAGGCGGCGUCAAGCUGCCACUUGCGGAUGGGCCCGCGGC